rnacentral:lncRNA from 1 species
CCAAAAAAAAAAAAAAAAAGAGUAACUUCCAAUAAAUAUUGUUGUGAAUUAGUAUUAACAACUUUUUAAAACAGAGUUGUUCAAUAGUAGAAGUUUCUCUCAAGAGACAGUAAGCAGUUUGUCAUCAAAGUACUCAAUCAGACCAAAUAAUGUGUCAGCAAUGUUAAGUGAUUCCUGAUGUAUAUGGUGGGGAGUAUUGAACAAGAUGGACUUCCUAAAAAUUUGUGAUCCUAAGAACAUGUAAUGUUGACACAGAUUUUUAUUACUCCUGGCAGAAAUGAACAAUACAGUAAGGAGAUAUGUUGAGGGGGAGCAGGAUCUGAACCCCAUGCAUGGCAAGAUGAGGUACCAGAUGCCAUCGAGCUAUUGAACUUCCAGGUGGUACUGUUACAUUUCUUCUGGCAUGUGAAGAAUUCAUUAUUCUAAAAGCAAAGUAGUAGUAAGUUGUACCAAGUGGUUUGUUUUAUAUAAAAUGUGAACCAUUUUUUAAAUUCCAAAUGUUGACAAUGUAUUACUCUUUGCCCCUUAAUUCUUCACCCUUUGCCUUGCCUGCACCCUGGGAGGCUGACAUCUACAGUACUUCUUUGCCCUCUCACUUCCUAUUGGGUUUGACUGAUGGGUGAUUCUUACCAGAGAUUAGGGGGCAGGAAAGAAGACAGGCCAGCCUUCUUAUCCCACUGUGCCCGCUUGUCAGAUCAGGGUUUUUGCUGUGAUUAUGUUCUUUUGUGCCAUGCGACUUUCUAGUGUCCUCUCUCUCAUGGUUAUGACUCUCAGAGGGUCCAGCAACCUCCCCCCCCCCAACAUAUACACACUUG